GCCAGCAGCCGCGGGAACACCGGCAGCUCUAGUGGUAGCAAUUUUAUUGGGCCUAAAGCGUCCGUAGCCGGUUUAAUAAGUCUCUGGUGAAAUCCUGUAGCUUAACUGUGGGAAUUGCUGGAGAUACUAUUAGACUUGAGAUCGGGAGAGGUUAGAGGUACUCCCAGGGUAGAGGUGAAAUUCUGUAAUCCUGGGAGGACCGCCUGUUGCGAAGGCGUCUAACUGGAACGAUUCUGACGGUGAGGGACGAAAGUUAGGGGCGCGAACCGGAUUAGAUACCCGGGUAGUCCUAACUGUAAACGAUGCGGACUUGGUGUUGGGGUGGCUUUGAGCUGCUCCAGUGCCGAAGGGAAGCUGUUAAGUCCGCCGCCUGGGAAGUACGGUCGCAAGACUGAAACUUAAGGAAUUGGCGGGGGAGCACCACAACGCGUGGAGCCUGCCGGUUUAAUUGGAUUCAACGCCGGACAUCUCACCAGAGGCGACAGCUGUAUGAUAGCCAGGUUGAUGACUUUGCUUGACUAGCUGAGAAGUGGUGCAUGG
rnacentral:rRNA from 1 species